GACGAACGCUGGCGGCGUGCUUAACACAUGCAAGUCGAACGGAAAGGCCCUGCUUUUGUGGGGUGCUCGAGUGGCGAACGGGUGAGUAACACGUGAGUAACCUGCCCUUGACUUUGGGAUAACUUCAGGAAACUGGGGCUAAUACCGGAUAGGAGCUCCUGCUGCAUGGUGGGGGUUGGAAAGUUUCGGCGGGUGGGGAUGGACUCGCGGGUGAUCAGCUUGUUGGUGGGGUAGUGGCUUACCAAGGCUUGGACGGGUAGCCCGCAGGGGAGGGUGACCGGGCACAUGGGGCCUGAGAGACGGCCCAGACUCCUACGGGAGGCAGCAGGGGGGAAUAUGGCACAAUGGGAGGAAGCCGGAUGCAGCAACGCCGCGUGCGGGAUGACGGCCUGCGGGUUGUAAACCGCUUUCGCCUGUGACGACGCGUGAGUGACGGUAAUGGGUGAAGAAGCACCGGCUAACUACGUG
rnacentral:rRNA from 1 species